GAGAUGUGCGUAAGCACUUUUCCCUUCUUACACCUGUGCACCGUUUGGUCUUCGGACCUUUACAAAUACAUGUAGUCAUGAACGUAAAUUAUUAUAAUCUAAUA
rnacentral:misc_RNA from 1 species